AUGAGUAUUAUAUGCUGGAACUGUCGAGGAUUGGGGUCGGCCUCGGCAGUUGGCGAGCUUUGCUGGCUUGUGAAGCUUCACCGACCCACCCUCCUCUUUCUGUCAGAGACGAAGAUGAGGGAUUCCCAUGUCCGUUAUUUUAUGUGUUCUUUAGGUUUUUCUGGAUGCUUUGCUAUUAGUUAAGAGGGUCAAAGUGGUGGACUAGCUCUUUUUUGGAAGGAUUCGGUGGCUGUAUCCCUG
rnacentral:rRNA from 1 species